rnacentral:lncRNA from 1 species
UGUGUUUACCCUACGAGUGAAACUCUAGCAUGGUGCCGUAGACAUGCUAUUUAUUGUAUAAUAUCAGCCUAGAGACGUGCUACGGUCAGAUCACCACCUGGAAGGUAUUCAGAUUACGACGAGGGCUAGAAUUUAUUACUGAUUUGAAGACCAACCUGAUUCAUCAUCAUUAAAAGGGAACGCAACGGUUGAGUACUCAAAAAAUGCAGAUAAUAGUCAACCUCUCACGAAGGCAACACCUUUGGCUGCAGGUAUCGAUUUGAGAAGUGCCUAUAGUUACGAAGUUCCUGCCCGUGGUCAAACUCUUGUUGAUACUGGAAUCAAAAUUCAACUAUGGAUAGGUCAUUACGGUCGUAUUGCUCCAUGAUCUCAACUAGCCGCCAAUCAUUCUAUAGACGUAGGAGCAGAUGUUAUUGACGAAGACUACAGAGGUGUAAUUAAGGUACACAAAUAUACGCGAACGAAUAGUAGGCGAGCGCGAAGCACGGUCAGCCGUGCUAAGGAUGCAGUAGGCGCUGGUCUCUACUAAUUUUCCAAGGUAGACUAGACCCCGAAGGAUGCUCAGUCUAGAGGAGCUGUUAGAAGAAGGAGACACCUAGCUGUCCAUACGACUGGGUAGUGUCGGAUUCCCGUGGAAGGUGUCCUCGGACGUAUCGACUAAAACCAUUCUACCUCAAGACGUUCUAGGACCACUUAAGUCCUCUUCAGCCGUAUAUGUUUGUUGAUUAUGUGAUUCAUCAUCAUCAUAAGAUCGUCAGUCUUAAGACUGGUUGGA